rnacentral:lncRNA from 1 species
AUGACACCUUUCUAUCCACCAGAUAAUGAAUUUUUUUGAUCUCUUAAUCUUCAUUUAAAAUACCAUAAUUCUUUGCUCAUGAAAUUGUUUGCUUUUGAUUAUUUCAUAUGAAAAUCAUAAUCAACUCUACCUAUUCUUAAUAAAAAUAAAAGAGUCUAAAGCAUUAGAUGCUCACCAUAAUCUACAACCUCCUUUAUCCUUUUAACUUC